rnacentral:rRNA from 1 species
CCCCUAGAUGUUCUGGGCCGCACGCGCGCUACACUGAACAGUUCAACAAGUCUUAACCUUGGCCGAUAGGUCUGGGUAAUCUUUGAACGCUGUUCGUGAUUGGGAUAGACCUUUGCAAUUAUGGGUCUUCAACGAGGAAUUCCUAGUAAACGCAAGUCAUCAGCUUGCAUUGAUUACGUCCCUGCCCUUUAUACACACCGCCCGUCGCACCUACCGAUUGAAUGGUCCGGUGAAAUCUCGGGACGGCGGCUUGGUCGCUUGCGUCCGACUGCUGAAACUUGAUUAAACCAUAUCAUUUAGAGGAAGGUGAAGUCGUANCA